rnacentral:rRNA from 1 species
UACGGAGGGAGCUAGCGUUGUUCGGAAUUACUGGGCGUAAAGCGCGCGUAGGCGGCUUUGUAAGUUAGAGGUGAAAGCCCGGAGCUCAACUCCGGAACUGCCUUUAAAACUGCAUCGCUUGAAUCCAGGAGAGGUGAGUGGAAUUCCGAGUGUAGAGGUGAAAUUCGUAGAUAUUCGGAAGAACACCAGUGGCGAAGGCGGCUCACUGGACUGGUAUUGACGCUGAGGUGCGAAAGCGUGGGGAGCAAGCAGG